CCUACGGGCGGCAGCAGUGAGGAAUAUUGGUCAAUGGCCGGAAGGCUGAACCAGCCAUGCCGCGUGAAGGUCAGUGCCCUAUGGGCGUUAAACUUCUUUUGUGCGGGAGCAAUAAUGGUCACGUGUGGCCAGACGAGAGUACCGUACGAAUAAGCAUCGGCUAACUCCGUGCCAGCAGCCGCGGUAAUACGGGGGAUGCAAGCGUUAUCCGGAUUUAUUGGGUUUAAAGGGUGCGUAGGCUGUGAGGUAAGUCAGCGGUGAAAUGCCGCCGCUCAACGGGGUGAAGUGCCAUUGAUACUGCCUGGCUGGAAUGCGGAUGCCGUGGGAGGAAUGUGUGGUGUAGCGGUGAAAUGCAUAGAUAUCACACAGAACACCGAUUGCGAAGGCAUCUCACGAAUCCUCGAUUGACGCUGAUGCACGAAAGCGUGGGUAUCAAACAGGAUUAGAUACCCUUGUAGUC
rnacentral:rRNA from 1 species